AAUGGACGGAAGUCUGAACCAGCCAUCCCGCGUGCAGGAUGAAGGUCCUAUGGAUUGUAAACUGCUUUUAGCAGAGACGAAACGCUUUCAUUUAUGAGAGUCUGACGGUAUCUGCAGAAUAAGCACCGGCUAACUCCGUGCCAGCAGCCGCGGUAAUACGGAGGGUGCAAGCGUUAUCCGGAAUCACUGGGUUUAAAGGGUGCGUAGGCGGGAAAUUAAGUCAGUGGUGAAAUCCUGUCGCUUAACGAUAGAACUGCCAUUGAUACUGAUUUUCUUGAAUUGGGUUGAGGUUAGCGGAAUGUGACAUGUAGCGGUGAAAUGCAUAGAUAUGUCAUGGAACACCAAUUGCGAAGGCAGCUAACUGGGCCUUGAUUGACGCUGAGGCACGAAAGCGUGGGUAGCGAA
rnacentral:rRNA from 1 species